GAAGCCGUAACCCCUGAACACCGCCCUUGCACGGCGGAGGUCAGGGGUUCGGAUCCCCUCGGCUCCA
rnacentral:tRNA from 1 species